rnacentral:lncRNA from 1 species
UAACUUCUCUCUAACCUCCCUAAACCCCUCCCAAGUCUAGGGAACCUCCCUAUCACGAGAAGAAAGCCCCGAAGCGCCCGACGGCUCCGAGAAGAAAAGAUUUCGGCUCGGAAACGCUGCUCCAGCGAAGCCUGGUUUUUAAUAAAAACCCGUUGUAAGUGAGCUACGCCUAUAGUAUAUUUAAUAUAGAUUUUAUUUAAUUAUAGUAACAUUGUUAGGACCUUAAAAUAAUUAUUUAGGCUAUUAUUAUGAGUUAUAUUGAGUGUUAUUUAACGCUUAUAUAAUAGUAAUAAUAGCUAGACUAUUAAAUUAGUCUCGUCAAGCGUUAGACUAAACUCUAGUGGUAAUGAUACUAGGUUUCGUCAAGGGAUAAUUGUUUUAAGAGUAACGAAGUGCUGUCCGAGUGCCGACUCACCACCUUUCAGGUGAGUGCAUAGUCCCUUUCAUCUUACACAUAGAUAUGAAGUAUUUUAUAUAAACUACGUGCUAUGUGUGCAUAUUAUCUGAAUACUUGCUGUCUAUGCUGGUUGAACGUUUUAUAC